AUUGAACGCUGGCGGCAUGCCUUACACAUGCAAGUCGAACGGUAACAGGUCUUCGGAUGCUGACGAGUGGCGAACGGGUGAGUAAUACAUCGGAACGUGCCCGAGAGUGGGGGAUAACGAGGCGAAAGCUUUGCUAAUACCGCAUACGAUCUCAGGAUGAAAGCAGGGGACCGCAAGGCCUUGCGCUCACGGAGCGGCCGAUGGCAGAUUAGGUAGUUGGUGGGAUAAAAGCUUACCAAGCCGACGAUCUGUAGCUGGUCUGAGAGGACGACCAGCCACACGGGGACUGAGACACGGCCCAGACGCCUACGGGAGGCAGCAGUGGGGAAUUUUGGACAAUGGGCGCAAGCCUGAUCCAGCCAUGCCGCGUGCAGGAUGAAGGCCUUCGGGUUGUAAACUGCUUUUGUACGGAACGAAAAGACUCUGGUUAAUACCUGGGGUCCAUGACGGUACCGUAAGAAUAAGCACCGGCUAACUACGUGCCAGCCGCCGCGGUAAUAC
rnacentral:rRNA from 1 species